rnacentral:rRNA from 1 species
UACGUAGGGUGCGAGCGUUAAUCGGAAUUACUGGGCGUAAAGUGUGCGCAGGCGGCCGCGCAAGUCGAGUGUGAAAGCCCCGAGCUUAACUUGGGAAUUGCGCUCGAAACUACGGAGCUGGAGUGUGGCAGAGGGAGGUAGAAUUCCACGUGUAGCGGUGAAAUGCGUAGAUAUGUGGAGGAAUACCGAUGGCGAAGGCAGCCUCCUGGGCCAACACUGACGCUCAUGCACGAAAGCGUGGGGAGCAAACAGG